AACGAACGCUGGCGGCAGGCUUAACACAUGCAAGUCGAACGCACCGCAAGGUGAGUGGCAGACGGGUGAGUAACACGUGGGGAUCUGCCCAAUGGUACGGAAUAGCUCCGGGAAACUGGAAUUAAUACCGUAUGUGCCCUUCGGGGGAAAGAUUUAUCGCCAUUGGAUGAACCCGCGUCGGAUUAGCUAGUUGGUGAGGUAAAGGCUCACCAAGGCGACGAUCCGUAGCUGGUCUGAGAGGAUGAUCAGCCACACUGGGACUGAGACACGGCCCAGACUCCUACGGGAGGCAGCAGUGGGGAAUAUUGGACAGUGGGCGCAAGCCUGAUCCAGCCAUGCCGCGUGAGUGAUGAAGGCCUUAGGGUUGUAAAGCUCUUUCGCCGACGAAGAUAAUGACGGUAGUCGGAGAAGAAGCCCCGGCUAACUUCGUGCCAGCCGCCGCAUAA
rnacentral:rRNA from 1 species